rnacentral:misc_RNA from 1 species
AAGUCGUAACAAGGUUUUCGUAGGUGAACCUGCGGAAGGAUCAUUAAUGAAAUUUUAAACUUUUUGAAAAAUUUAACUUUUUUUCAAGGCGGAUUUGUGGAGUGUUGCUAUCUUUAACAGGAUGUGACUGAAGCAAGUCGGUUCUUUGAAUUAAAAUUACUUCUUUCUUAAAAAUUUAUUCAAAUCAUUACAAACACUUUGUGCAUUUGUUUUUAAUAAAUCUUGUUUUUUACUAAACAGAUUUACUAAAUAUUUUUUUACACUUGUGUCAAAUUAUUUUAAAAGUCCAAGUUGAUUAACUUUGUUAAAAAUUGAAAGUAAAACUUUCAGCAAUGGAUCUCUUGGCUCUC